AUUGAACGCUGGCGGCAGGCCUAACACAUGCAAGUCGAGCGAGCGGCGGAAGGGUGAGUAAUGUCUGGGAAAAUGCCUGAUGGAGGGGGAUAACUACUGGAAAAGGUAGCUAAUACCGCAUACCAUAAGAUGUGACCAGAUGGGAUUAGCUGGUAGGUGGGGUAACGGCUCACCUGUGCGACGAUCCCUAGCUGGUCUGAGAGGAGUACCAGACACACUGGAACUGAGACACGGUCCAGACGCCGACGGGAGGCAGCAGUGGGGAAUAUUGCACAAUGGGCGCAAGCCUGAUGCAGCCAUGCCGCGUGUGUGAAGAAGGCCUUCGGGUUGUAAAGCACUUUCAGCGGGGAGGCGUUACCCGCAGAAGAAGCACCGGCUAACUCCGUGCCAGCCGCCGCGGUAAUUC
rnacentral:rRNA from 1 species